rnacentral:rRNA from 1 species
UACGGGGGGGGCAAGCGUUGUUCGGAAUUACUGGGCGUAAAGGGCUCGUAGGUGGCCAACUAAGUCGGACGUGAAAUCCCUCGGCUUAACCGGGGAACUGCGUCCGAUACUGGAUGGCUUGAGUUUGGGAGAGGGACGCGGAAUUCCAGGUGUAGCGGUGAAAUGCGUAGAUAUCUGGAGGAAUACCGGUGGCGAAGGCGGCAUCCUGGACCGACAUUGACGCUGAACGGCGAAAGCUAGGGGAGCAAACGGG